GACGAACGCUGGCGGCGUGCUUAACACAUGCAAGUCGAACGGAAAGGCCCUGCUUUUGUGGGGUGCUCGAGUGGCGAACGGGUGAGUAACACGUGAGUAACCUGCCCUUGACUUUGGGAUAACUUCAGGAAACUGGGGCUAAUACCGGAUAGGAGCUCCUGCUGCAUGGUGGGGGUUGGAAAGUUUCGGCGGUUGGGGAUGGACUCGCGGCUUAUCAGCUUGUUGGUGGGGUAGUGGCUUACCAAGGCUUUGACGGGUAGCCGGCCUGAGAGGGUGACCGGCCACAUUGGGACUGAGAUACGGCCCAGACUCCUACGGGAGGCAGCAGUGGGGAAUAUUGCACAAUGGGCGGAAGCCUGAUGCAGCAACGCCGCGUGCGGGAUGACGGCCUUCGGGUUGUAAACCGCUUUCGCCUGUGACGAAGCGUGAGUGACGGUAAUGGGUUAAGAAGCACCGGCUAACUACGUG
rnacentral:rRNA from 1 species